ACAGGAAGCAGGCAUAGAAAACAUGGAAGUUGCAUUUAAUGGUAUCUAUGGACAGGGAUUGGGGAUCAUCGUUGCAUCGAUGACAGCUUUCCUGGUCGCCCAGCUGGUCGAUGUAUUUAUAUUUCAUCGCAUCAAAAAGAUGACAGGAGAAAAAAGGAUCUGGUUACGUGCCACUGGAUCAACUGUUGUAUCACAGCUUAUCGACAGUUUCGUGGUCUUACUGAUCGCUUUUUAUUUUUAUCCUAUGCUGGUCAAAGGACAAGGACAACCCUGGCCAUUCGACCAGUUAAUUGCAAUUUGUAUUGUGAAUUAUAUUUACAAGUUUAUUGUUGCUUUGUUGAUGACGCCUGUUAUUUAUUUGGUGCAUGGGUGGAUAGAGAAGUAUUUAGGACACGAGAAAGCGGCGGAGAUGAAGAACGCAGC
rnacentral:misc_RNA from 1 species